AUGAUUCUCAGAAGUUUUCUGAAUAUGUACUGCGAAUUAUGUGCUUCCAGCAGAGGAAAAUCAGGCAGGACUUACCCCAGGAUCAAACUUGGACUACACGGGCAGGGGGAAAUUCAACACUCGCAGAACACAGAUUCGUGUCCACGACAGUUUGUCUAUAAAACCCCCGGUAUAAAAUUUCUUAGCCUAGCUUUUGACGCUUUCAGUUUCAGUGCAGACAUGCCUAAAAGCCUCCUUCUUUUCUCAUGCCAAUGGGUAGUCAUCAUCACAUCACAUGGUCUACGGUCAUGA
rnacentral:rRNA from 1 species